rnacentral:rRNA from 1 species
UACGGAGGGGGCGAGCGUUAUUCGGAAUCAUUGGGCGUAAAGGGCGCGUAGGCGGCCCCGUAAGUCUUGGGUGAAAGCCCUCGGCUCAACCGAGGAAUUGCCUUGGAUACUGCGGGGCUCGAGGCUGGAAGAGGGUAGCGGAAUUCCCGGUGUAGCGGUGGAAUGCGUAGAUAUCGGGAGGAACACCAGUGGCGAAGGCGGCUACCUGGGCCAGUUCUGACGCUGAGGCGCGAAAGCGUGGGGAGCAAACAGG